rnacentral:tRNA from 11 species
CGUCGAGAGCAGGGUUCGAACCUGCGCGGGGAAACCCCAUUGGAUUUCAAGUCCAACGCCUUAACCACUCGGCCAUCUCGAC